rnacentral:rRNA from 1 species
UACCAGCACCCCGAGUGGUCGGGACGAUUAUUGGGCCUAAAGCAUCCGUAGCCGGCCUUACAAGUCCUCCGUUAAAUCCAGCUGCUUAACAGAUGGGCUGCGGAGGAUACUAUAAGACUAGGAGGCAGGAGAGGCAAGCGGUACUCAGUGGGUAGGGGUAAAAUCCGUUGAUCCAUUGAAGACCACCAGUGGCGAAGGCGGCUUGCCAGAAUGCGCUCGACGGUGAGGGAUGAAAGCUGGGGGAGCGAACCGG